rnacentral:rRNA from 1 species
UGGGGAAUAUUGCACAAUGGGCGAAAGCCUGAUGCAGCAACGCCGCGUGAGCGAUGAAGGCCUUCGGGUCGUAAAGCUCUGUCCUAUGGGAAGAUAAUGACGGUACCAUAGGAGGAAGCCCCGGCUAACUACGUGCCAGCAGCCGCGGUAAUACGUAGGGGGCAAGCGUUAUCCGGAAUUACUGGGCGUAAAGGGUGCGUAAGCGGUUUAUCAAGUCAGGGGUGAAAGGCUACGGCUCAACCGUAGUGAGCCUCUGAAACUGGUGAACUUGAGUGUAGGAGAGGAAAGUGGAAUUCCCAGUGUAGCGGUGAAAUGCGUAGAUAUUGGGAGGAACACCAGUGGCGAAGGCGACUUUCUGGACUACAACUGACGCUGAGGCACGAAAGCGUGGGGAGCAAACA